rnacentral:rRNA from 1 species
AAUGACUCUCGGCAACGGAUAUCUCGGCUCUCGCAUCGAUGAAGAACGUAGCGAAAUGUGAUACUUGGUGUGAAUUGCAGAAUCCCGUGAACCAUCGAGUCUUUGAACGCAAGUUGCGCCCUAAACCGUCGGGCUAAGGGCACGUCUGCCUGGGUGUCACGC